rnacentral:rRNA from 1 species
AUGUUAGCGGCGGACGGGUGAGUAACACGUGGGUAACCUGCCUGUAAGACUGGGAUAACUCCGGGAAACCGGAGCUAAUACCGGAUAGUUCCUUGAACCGCAUGGUUCAAGGAUGAAAGACGGUUUCGGCUGUCACUUACAGAUGGACCCGCGGCGCAUUAGCUAGUUGGUGAGGUAACGGCUCACCAAGGCGACGAUGCGUAGCCGACCUGAGAGGGUGAUCGGCCACACUGGGACUGAGACACGGCCCAGACUCCUACGGGAGGCAGCAGUAGGGAAUCUUCCGCAAUGGACGAAAGUCUGACGGAGCAACGCCGCGUGAGUGAUGAAGGUUUUCGGAUCGUAAAGCUCUGUUGUUAGGGAAGAACAAGUGCAAGAGUAACUGCUUGCACCUUGACGGUACCUAACCAGAAAGCCACGGCUAACUACGUGCCAGCAGCCGCGGUAAUACGUAGGUGGCAAGCGUUGUCCGGAAUUAUUGGGCGUAAAGGGCUCGCAGGCGGUUUCUUAAGUCUGAUGUGAAAGCCCCCGGCUCAACCGGGGAGGGUCAUUGGAAACUGGGAAACUUGAGUGCA